rnacentral:rRNA from 1 species
GACGAACGCUGGCGGCGUGCUUAACACAUGGAAGUCGAACGGAGAGGCCCUGCUUUUGUGGGGUGCUCGAGUGGCGAACGGGUGAGUAACACGUGAGUAACCUGCCCUUGACUUUGGGAUAACUUCAGGAAACUGGGGCUAAUACCGGAUAGGAGCUCCUGCUGCAUGGUGGGGGUUGGAAAGUUUCGGCGGUUGGGGAUGGACUCGCGGCUUAUCAGCUUGUUGGUGGGGUAGUGGCUUACCAAGGCUUUGACGGGUAGCCGGCCUGAGAGGGUGACCGGCCACAUUGGGACUGAGAUACGGCCCAGACUCCUACGGGAGGCAGCAGUGGGGAAUAUUGCACAAUGGGCGGAAGCCUGAUGCAGCAACGCCGCGUGCGGGAUGACGGCCUUCGGGUUGUAAACCGCUUUCGCCUGUGACGAAGCGUGAGUGACGGUAAUGGGUAAAGAAGCACCGGCUAACUACGAG